GACGUACCGUCAGAAUUCAAAAAUUUCGGAUCAGUUUACAACGAUGAAUACCGUAACAUAUACAUUUUUGUUAGUUGCGGGCUUUGCCAUUGUCUUGAUCUCCAAUGUUACGGCUGUGCCGACAGGGUCAGCUGAAGAGAAGCCUGUUCCGCAAAAAUUAAAACUGCAACCUCUUCUUGAGUUGUGUCUUGAAGUAUAUCAAUUGCUUGGGCCCUGGUUUCCAGGAGGUUAAAAUGCAAUUAAAAUUGUAGCAAAAGAAGAUUAUGCUUAAGAAUUUAUGGCACAAUAUAUUUAACAGAUUUAAAUUAUAGCAAGCGUUCUAUAAAUUACCGAAAUUUUCUGUAAAUUACUUAAUGUUGUAAAAAGUUGCACAAAAUAAUAUUUUUGGUGUGGGAAAAACAUAA